UGGGGAAUAUUGCACAAUGGGCGCAAGCCUGAUGCAGCCAUGCCGCGUGUAUGAAGAAGGCCUUCGGGUUGUAAAGUACUUUCAGCGAGGAGGAAGGCGGUAAGGUUAAUAACCUUAUCGAUUGACGUUACUCGCAGAAGAAGCACCGGCUAACUCCGUGCCAGCAGCCGCGGUAAUACGGAGGGUGCAAGCGUUAAUCGGAAUUACUGGGCGUAAAGCGCACGCAGGCGGUCUGUCAAGUCGGAUGUGAAAUCCCCGGGCUCAACCUGGGAACUGCAUUCGAAACUGGCAGGCUAGAGUCUUGUAGAGGGGGGUAGAAUUCCAGGUGUAGCGGUGAAAUGCGUAGAGAUCUGGAGGAAAACCGGUGGCGAAGGCGGCCCCCUGGACAAAGACUGACGCUCAGGUGCGAAAGCGUGGGGAGCAAACA
rnacentral:rRNA from 1 species